rnacentral:rRNA from 1 species
CCUACGGGAGGCAGCAGGGAGGAAUAUUGGUCAAUGGCCGGAAGGCUGAACCAGCCAAGUCGCGGGAAGGAAGAAGGAUCUAUGGGUUGUAAACGUCUUUUAUAGGGGAAUAAAGGUAUCCACGUGUGGAUAUUUGCAUGUACCCUAUGAAUAAGCAUCGGCUAACUCCGUGCCAGCAGCCGCGGUAAUACGGAGGAGGCGAGCGUUAUCCGGAUUUAUUGGGUUUAAAGGGUGCGUAGGUUGUUUUUUAAGUCAGCGGUGAAAGUUUGUGGCUCAACCAUAAAAUUGCCGUUGAAACUGGAAGCCUUGCGUGUGUUUGCGGUAGGCGGACUGCGUGGUGUAGCGGU